rnacentral:rRNA from 1 species
AUUGAACGCUGGCGGAAUGCUUAACACAUGCAAAUCGAACGGUAACAUUAUUAAAGCUUGCUUUAAUAGAUGACGAGUGGCGGACGGGUGAGUAACGCGUAGGAAUCUGCCCUAAAGCGGGGGAUAACCUAGGGAAACUUAGGCUAAUACCGCAUAAACUCUAAGGAGCAAAGGACAUGGCAACAUGUUCGUUUUAGGAUGAGCCUGCGUUGGAUUAGUUAGUUGUUAGGGUAAAGGCCUAACAAGACAAUGAUCCAUAGCUGUUCUGAGAGGAAGAUCAGCCACACUGGGACUGAGACACGGCCCAGACUCCUACGGGAGGCAGCAGUGGGGAAUCUUGGACAAUGGGCGCAAGCCUGAUCCAGCAAUUCCGCGUGUGUGAAGAAGGCCUGAGGGUUGUAAAGCACUUUUAAUUUGGAAGAAGUUGUCGCGAGACAAUUGACGUUACAAAUAGAAAAAGCACCGGCUAACUCUGUGCCAGCAGCCGCCGUAA